UGCUAACAUCCUUCGCUACUAU
rnacentral:miRNA from 1 species